rnacentral:rRNA from 1 species
UUAUGUUCUUUAAAUUUAAAAAAUUUGGCGGUGUUUUAGUCUAGUUAGAGGAACCUGUGUUAUAAACGAUACAACACGCAUUAUUUUACUUAUUUUARUAGAUCAGCUUGUAUACCGUCAUUAUAAGAUAAUUUAGGAGAGAAUAUUAUUGAGAUCAUAUUAUUGAGUAUAUUAGAUCAAGGUGCAGCUUACGGGUAAGUAAACAUGGGUUACAAUAAAAUUUAUUUAAUAUGAAUUAA